UACGUAGGUCCCGAGCGUUAUCCGGAUUUAUUGGGCGUAAAGCGAGGGCAGGCGGUUAGAUAAGUUUGAAGUGAAAGGCCGUGGCUUAACCAUAGUAUGCUUUGGAAACUGUUUAACUUGAGUUCAGAAGGGGAGAGUGGAAUUCCAUGUGUAGCGGUGAAAUGCGUAGAUAUAUGGAGGAACACCGGUGGCGAAGGCGGCUAUCUGGUCUGUAACUGACGCUGAGGCUCGAAAGCGUGGGGAGCAAACAGG
rnacentral:rRNA from 1 species